GCGCAGGAAAAGAAACCAACAGGGAUUGCCUCAGUAACGGCGAGUGAAGCGGCAAAAGCUCAAAUUUGAAAUCUGCGUAAGCCGAGUUGUAAUUUGAAGAUGGCUACUUUGGUAAUGGCUCUUGUCUAUGUUCCUUGGAACAGGACGUCACAGAGGGUGAGAAUCCCGUGCGAUGAGAUGUCCAUUACCGUGUAAAGUGCUUUCGAAGAGUCGAGUUGUUUGGGAAUGCAGCCCUAAGUGGGUGGUAAAUUCCAUCUAAAGCUAAAUAUUGGCGAGAGACCGAUGGCGAACAAGUACAGUGAUGGAAAGAUGAAAAGAACUUUGAAAAGAGAGUGAAAAAGUACGUGAAAUUGUUGAAAGGGAAGGGCUUGAGAUCAGACUUGGUAUUUUGUAUGGCUUGCUUUCGGGCGGGUCCUCUGCAGUUUACUGGGCCAGCAUCGGUUUGGGUGGCAGGAUAAUAGCAUAGGAAUGUGGCUCUACUUCGGUGGAGUGUUAUAGCCUUUGUUGAUACUGCCUGCCUAGACCGAGGACUGCGUCUUUUGACUAGGAUGCUGGCGUAAUGAUCCUAAGCCGCCCGUCUUGAAACACGGACCAAGGAGUCUAACGUCUAUGCGAGUGUUUGGGUGUGAAACCCGUACGCGGAAUGAAAGUGAACGUAGAUGAGAGCCUUUUACGCGCAUCAUCCACCGAUGCUGAUGUUCGCGGAUGGAUUUGAAAUCAUCAACCUGCAGGCAUGCAGCUUGUCACUGGCCGUCGGUUUACCACUUCACGACUGGGAGAUGGAACCCGCCCAGAGGGA
rnacentral:rRNA from 1 species